GACGAACGCUGGCGGCGUGCUUAACACAUGCAAGUCGAACGGAAAGGCCCCUUUGGGGGUACUCGAGUGGCGAACGGGUGAGUAACACGUGAGUAACCUGCCCUUGACUUCGGGAUAACUUCAGGAAACUGGGGCUAAUACCGGAUAGGAAUCCUUGCUGCAUGGUGGGGGUUGGAAAGCUUCGGCGGGUUUGGAUGGACUCGCGGCUUAUCAGCUUGUUGGUGGGGUAGUGGCUUACCAAGGCUUUGACGGGUAGCCGGACUGAGAGGGCGACCGGCCACAUUGGGACUGAGAUACGGCCCAGACUCCUACGGGAGGCAGCAGUGGGGAAGAUUGCACAAUGGGCGGCGGCCUGAUGCAGCAACGCCGCGUGCGGGAUGACGGCCUUCGGGUUGUAAACCGCUUUCAGCAGGGGCGAAGCUUGUGGUGACGGUACCUGCAGAAGAAGCACCGGCUAACUACGUG
rnacentral:rRNA from 1 species